rnacentral:rRNA from 1 species
GGCGGCCUUAGCGCGGUGGUCCCACCUGACCCCAUGCCGAACUCAGAAGUGAAACGCCGUAGCGCCGAUGGUAGUGUGGGGUUUCCCCAUGCGAGAGUAGGGAACUGCCAGGCAU